GGACGUAAGAAGAAGACUGGCUCAAGUAUCAUGGCUGAAUCGUCCCAAAUGGUUCCAACGUGUUCUAAUUCUCAUGAUCACCAGAUCCAACGCUGAAGUCCAUCUUAAGCCUUAUGGACUUUAUGUGCUCAACCAUGCCACGUUCACUAAUAUUUUGAACCUGUCCUACUCAUCUUCCAAUCUCCUAAAGGCGCUGUCAUGAAAUUCGAAAUCAGGAAGACUAUCAUCUUCAAAGUUGAAGUUAUCAAUAUUCCAUGAAGUUGGGAAAACGAAACAAUAAACGUUACUUGAUGAAAAAA